rnacentral:rRNA from 1 species
CCUACGGGAGGCAGCAGUGAGGAAUAUUGGUCAAUGGACGAGCGUCUGAACCAGCCAAGUCGCGUGAAGGAUGACUGCCCUAUGGGUUGUAAACUUCUUUUAUAUGGGAAUAAAACGUUCCACGUGUGGGAUUUUGUAUGUACCAUAUGAAUAAGGAUCGGCUAACUCCGUGCCAGCAGCCGCGGUAAUACGGAGGAUCCGAGCGUUAUCCGGAUUUAUUGGGUUUAAAGGGAGCGUAGGUGGAUUGUUAAGUCAGUUGUGAAAGUUUGCGGCUCAACCGUAAAAUUGCAGUUGAAACUGGCAGUCUUGAGUACAGUAGAGGUGGGCGGAAUGCGUGGUGUAGCGGUGAAAUGCUUAGAUAUCACGAAGAACUCCGAUUGCGAAGGCAGUUCACUGGACUGCAACUGACACUGAGGCUCGAAAGUGUGGGUAUCAAACAGGAUUAGAUACCCCUGUAGUC